rnacentral:rRNA from 1 species
UGGGGAAUAUUGCACAAUGGGCGCAAGCCUGAUGCAGCCAUGCCGCGUGUAUGAAGAAGGCCUUCGGGUUGUAAAGUACUUUCAGCGGGGAGGAAGGCGAUAAGGUUAAUAACCUUGUCGAUUGACGUUACCCGCAGAAGAAGCACCGGCUAACUCCGUGCCAGCAGCCGCGGUCAUACGGAGGGUGCAAGGGUUAAUCGGAAUUACUGGGCGUAAAGCGCACGCAGGCGGUCUGUCAAGUCGGAUGUGAAAUCCCCGGGCUCAACCUGGGAACUGCAUUCGAAACUGGCAGGCUAGAGUCUUGUAGAGGGGGGUAGAAUUCCAGGUGUAGCGGUGAAAUGCGUAGAGAUCUGGAGGAAUACCGGUGGCGAAGGCGGCCCCCUGGACAAAGACUGACGCUCAGGUGCGAAAGCGUGGGGAGCAAACA